rnacentral:lncRNA from 1 species
GUUUACUGAAUUGUGUUACACCUUGGCUCAGUUUCUAUCUUUUUCUCAUUCUGCUUCCUGCUGCUUUCUUGAGGCAAACAAGCUGGAUGCUUGCCUUAGGCCAAAAGGAUGUAUAGAUGGUAAUGGGACUCUACAGAAGGAAAAUGACUACUGGGGAAAGACAAUUGCAUUAGCUUUAGCUGUAAGUGAGUAUAAUAUUCCCAUUUUGAUGCUGCUGCAUGUACUUUUGAUAGUUCUUCUGUCAAAUGAGAGGUAAAAGAUUUUAUUUCAUCCUCUAUCUCUGAGAACUAAAUUAACUGUAUAGUGACAACAGG